GACGAACGCUGGCGGCGUGCCUAAUACAUGCAAGUUGAGCGAUGAAGAUUGGUGCUUGCCCCAAUUUGAAGAGCAGCGAACGGGUGAGUAACGCGUGGGGAAUCUGCCUUUGAGCGGGGGACAACAUUUGGAAACGAAUGCUAAUACCGCAUAACAACUUUAAACAUAAGUUUUAAGUUUGAAAGAUGCAAUUGCAUCACUCAAAGAUGAUCCCGCGUUGUAUUAGCUAGUUGGUGAGGUAAAGGCUCACCAAGGCGAUGAUACAUAGCCGACCUGAGAGGGGGAUCGGCCACAUUGGGACUGAGACACGGCCCAAACUCCUACGGGAGGCAGCAGUAGGGAAUCUUCGGCAAUGGACGAAAGUCUGACCGAGCAACGCCGCGUGAGUGAAGAAGGUUUUCGGAUCGGAAAACUCUGUUGGUAGGGAAGAACGUUGGUGAGAGUGGAAAGCUCAUCAAGUGACGGUAACUACCCAGAAAGGGACGGCUAACUACGUG
rnacentral:rRNA from 1 species